UGGAGUGCUGGACCAAAACAAGUGGUAGCCUGCAACAGCCUUCUUCCCUUGGGCAGCGAUUCUCAAAGAAGACCCUGGGGUAGAUGCUAAAAGGAAGACAGGAUAGGAUGCGGCACGCUCAAGUUCAGGGACGGCUCCGCACUUACUGAGUAUUUGUCACCUGCUCUAGAAGAUGGAGGGAAAAAGAAAUCUGAUUCAUUCUGAUGCUUUCCUGGAUAAGCAAAGAAGGAGAAGGCAGGAAAUCGGGGGAAGGAAAAGACUAAACGAAGCUAAAUAUGAAAGCAACUGGAACUGCAGCAAAAGAUAGAAAGAAAAAGGUGGAUGCUGUGCUCACUGCGGCUAGAAGUGGAUUCUGCUGAAGGGUUUAAAUCCACACGGACACAUGAUCUAAUAUGCCACAUCAGCCUGAAAUUGCUAUUUCUUGUAACAACCAUGAAAGCGCUAACAGACUCUAGAGCCAAGGGGAAAAAGAAGUCAAGUUGAAAGUAUCCAUUAUUGGGGCACCUGGGU